UACAGAGGGUGCAAGCGUUGUUCGGAAUUACUGGGCGUAAAGCGCAUGUAGGCGGCUUAUUAAGUCAGAUGUGAAAUCCCUUGGCUCAACUGAGGAACUGCAUCUGAUACUGGUAAGCUUGAGUGUCGGAGGGGAUGGUAGAAUUCCUGGUGUAGAGGUGAAAUUCGUAGAUAUCAGGAGGAAUACCUGUGGCGAAGGCGACCAUCUGGAAGACAACUGACGCUGAGAUGCGAAAGCGUGGGUAGCAAACAGG
rnacentral:rRNA from 1 species